CACUUGUUCAGCCCGGAUUUUCUGGUAGCUGCAGGCCGGCCCUUGCCACCUGUUAUGUGGCCACUGCCUUCUAGAUUUUCCUUGUGUAUCUGCAGGCAGGCCAAGGCUGCGAGAAGAAAGAAGGUCACUUGUCACUUACCUCAACGCUCGCAGGUCGGUGAUGCCAGAGAAGCCUGAAGAAGAGAGACGUGCAUCCUAGGAGGUGGCACAGGGGAUAGAACAGGGCAAUUGCCUUUAGAAUUGGCUAGCUUACUGUGUGUACAUUAAGAAUGUCUGGUAUGUAUUUGAAGAUCUGGAGGAAAUGUAGAAGGUAACAGACUUCUUGAAUGUUUAUACUCCCAGCUGCUGUCCCCUCCUCUCCCUUUCAGUGAUGAGUAGCAUGGGUCAGAGUUGGGCCAGCUAGAGUUAUUCUCCAGUGUUUUAAGUGACCUUGCAGAGAGGAGAGAUUUUAUUUCUGCUAUGAAGUUGUAGAAAUGUGGUCUAGGGCUGGAAUUCGGGGGAGCACAUGCACAGAAGCUGUUAGAAGCAAUGGUGCUGAUGCUCUGCUCAAGUGGAGACGCAGCCAGACUCCUCCUCCCCUCCCUCCAGUUUUCCUAUCAUCUAAUAUGCUUCUCUUUUCAUCUAAACUAGUCCUUGUCUCUUGCACCCAAGAGGGGGCU